ACGUGUGCCGGCAGCUGCAGCAACUAGGUAAUAACCGAUCAGAGGAUCGCCGAAAGCGGAGCCAGCAACAUCUGCUCCUGGGGCAAGGGUCCUCAUCCUUAUUGUGCACGCUUCCAGUGAAAGGAUCGCGCGGCACAUGACGACGCCAGCUGCCGUCGAUCCUUUGUCAGGAUAUUUUCGGUGUGUGGAUGUGUGGAACAAUCCAAUAAUGAGCCUACCGAACUGAGGUGUCCCGCGGAUCUUUUGCUGUCAAAUGAUGGAGCCUCAAAAAGGAUGGGAACACCAAGUGAACUCAUCAGUGAACUACUAUUUGAAGUAAGGAAUUUGAGAGGUUAUGACAUUACUCAAGUGACCUAAUUUCCUGUGAAACCAUCUAGUCACCGUUACUAGGUAUAGAUUAGACUUGCCAGUUGACAGUUGUUUUAAACAAAUAUCUCACGAAUGAAUGACGCAAAACAGAAUGCAGCGAGGAUAUAUGAAUUUCGUUCUAGUAAAAUAAGUGAGGUAAGCAACUGAUGCUAUAGGCAAAACCCCAUCAAUCAUAGGAACCUACGCAGCGCUGUAAAUGGAAAUGACAUUGAGCGGUAAUUAGAAAUUGGAAAAUUCUAGCUAGUAAACGCGUUCCACGAAUGGGUGGGUUUUGCAGCAUGGGGGUGGUGUUGAUUUCAUCAUGAAUGAAAUGCGAUGCGAAUGAGCUCAGCAUCGGCGGAGAUAAAAGGUACAAUCUUAGUUAAUAUCCAGGCAGAAACAUGUGCGACAGACAGAUUUCAUUCCAACCCAUCCCUCAAAAUGACAAGCUAGCACAAGAGCGAAUAAGAUAAGACGGGAUCCUGACAUAUGCCUAAGUAUGUAUGUACAUGUGUAUCUCGGCCUCCAGAUUGUUUUAGAAAUCACUAGAAAACGCCAGAGAGCGGAGAGCGAGAUAGGGAGAAAGGGGGAGAGAGAGAGAGUGAGAGAGGGAGGGAUAAUGGUCGUGUCCCUGUUUAUGUGGGGGU
ensembl:ncRNA lncRNA:CR43951 long non-coding RNA:CR43951